rnacentral:rRNA from 1 species
CCUACGGGAGGCAGCAGUGGGGAAUAUUGCGCAAUGUGGGAAACCCUGAUGCAGCAACGCCGCGUGAGUGAAGGAGUAUUUCUGUAUUUAAAGCUCUAUCAGCAGGGAAGAAGAAAGACGGUACCUGACUCAGGAGCACCGGCUAACUACGUUCCAGAAGCCGCGGUAAUACGGGGGCUGCGAGCGUUGUCCGGAUUUAUUGGGUUAAAAGGUUGCGCAGGCGGAAGCUCAAGUCGGCGGUAAAAUUGAGAUGCUCAACCUCUUCGAGCCGUUGACACUGGUUGUCUUGAGUGAGUGAGAAGGAUGAGGAAUGCGUGGUGUAGCGGUGAAAUGCAUAGAUAUCACGAAGAACUCCGAUGGCGAAGGCAGCAUACCGGCGCUCAACUGACGCUCAGGCACGAAAGUGUGGGUAUCGAACAGGAUUAGAUACCCGGGUAGUC